rfam:TPA: Bos taurus chromosome 27, whole genome shotgun sequence.
UCUCUGGUGGUCCAAUGGCUAGGACUCUGCACUCCCAAUGCAGGGGGCCUGGGUUCGAUCCCUGGUCAGGGAA